UACGGAGGGGGCUAGCGUUGUUCGGAAUUACUGGGCGUAAAGCGCACGUAGGCGGCUUUGUAAGUUAGAGGUGAAAGCCCAGGGCUUAACCCUGGAAUUGCCUUUAAGACUGCAUCGCUAGAAUCGUGGAGAGGUGAGUGGAAUUCCGAGUGUAGAGGUGAAAUUCGUAGAUAUUCGGAAGAACACCAGUGGCGAAGGCGACAUCCUGGACCGGUAUUGACGCUGAGGCGCGAAAGCCAGGGGAGCAAACGGG
rnacentral:rRNA from 1 species